GAAUCUCUCAGGAUUCAGGGCUGCCUUGAGUAGGGCUGAAGAAGAGGGUUAGAUAUUGGAAUAGGACUCAGGACUAAGGAGUCUUGACCCUUAGUCAGCAAUUAUCUUUUGGCCAGUAUAGCCAUAGAGGAGGGUUAUAGAAAACAUGAAAGCAUAGUUCCUUGGGAAGAAAGGAAACAAUCGUGUAUGAAGUGCCUAUUAUGAGACAGACACUGUGCCAAAUAUUUUUAAAAAUAUUAUGUCAUUUAAUCCUCACCACAACCUUGGGAGCCGGAAGCCACUUAUUGUGCAGAUGUCUCCAAUACUGCGUGCUAAAGCAGGUGAAGUGAGUGAAAUCAGGUGUAAUGUUUCGACUCAACUGAGAGAAGCCGUGCCAAUAAAGUUCUAUAUUGUGACUGACUCAAAAGAAAAGUGUUCUGAAUUUAUCGAAUACAAGGCCUGUAUAUACCCAGGGGACAAUGCAAGGAAUUUCUACUGGAACAUACGCUGUCAAAGUACUGUAACAGUAGCCUGCGUGGCUGACGCUAUCGAUGAUGCUGAAGUCUGUGAUCCAUACAUCAGUACUGUGCCUACAACUGGCAAACGAGGUUAUCAAAUCAGAACAUUCACUGUAAGGAACUGAACUGGAAUCCUGUUCUCCCACUCUCCGGCUGGUCACUCUAUGGAGAGAUGCCUUGGGGAUGACCAUCUGAGACCUACGUGGUCUGUGAAAUAAACACCCUAUAAACUUCUCUGCA
rnacentral:lncRNA from 1 species